rnacentral:rRNA from 1 species
GACGAACGCUGGCGGCGUGCUUAACACAUGCAAGUCGAACGGAAAGGCCCUGCUUUUGUGGGGUGCUCGAGUGGCGAACGGGUGAGUAACACGUGAGUAACCUGCCCUUGACUUUGGGAUAACUUCAGGAAACUGGGGCUAAUACCGGAUAGGAGCUCCUGCUGCAUAGUGGGGGUUGGAAAGUUUCGGCGGUUGGGGAUGGACUCGCGGCUUAUCAGCUUGUUGGUGGGGUAGUGGCUUACCAAGGCUUUGACGGGUAGCGGGCCUGAGAGGGUGACCGGCCACAUUGGGACUGAGAUACGGCCCAGACUCCUACGGGAGGCAGCAGUGGGGAAUAUUGCACAAUGGGCGGAAGCCUGAUGCAGCAACGCCGCGUGCGGGAUGACGGCCUUCGGGUUGUAAACCGCUUUCGCCUGUGACGAAGCGUGAGUGACGGUAAUGGGUAAAGAAGCACCGGCUAACUACGUG